CUUAUCUCUUGAAGCGUAACCGCAAUCGCGAAAAGCCUCCAAGCAAGAAGAAUCCGUCCAUAAUAUCAUUCUCCAGUUCCACAGUGUUCUACUUUUUAGAACCCAAAACACAAAAUCGCGAACGAAAUCCCGAACUCCUAUUUCCAUUCUUUCUUUCGCGUUCUUUUCUCUUUCUGUUUUCUUCCUUUUCUCUCUUUCUUUGCUUCUGUCUUGGUUGCUUUUUCUCUUUUGUGUUUCAAUGUUUUGUUUUCUUCCGUUUUUCAACGUUUUGAUUUCUUCUUCCUUUUUUUUUCUUUCUCUUUCUGUUAUUUUGUUUUCCGUUUCUUUCUUUAUUCCUUUUCUUUUGUUCCUUCUUUUCUUUCUU
rnacentral:lncRNA from 1 species